GGGACUGUGGCUUAGUAGUAGAGCAUUUGCCUGCCAUCCAUGAAGCCCUGGGUUCGAUUCCCUGGCCCA
rnacentral:tRNA from 1 species